rnacentral:piRNA from 1 species
UAUUAGGUUGAUCACAUCAUGGGAUGGCAU